CUCCAUUAGGAAUGUCUGUGAUCCUCAGCAACUUGGGAAUAGUUAACUGAGUUGACCCCAAGCUGGAAAACGGAGUCUAGGAUGGAGAAAAAUUUCUGACAAAGAGUAUCUUUGUCAUGAAGGCCUGUGACAUUGUGUAUGUGUGUUAGAGCAUAAUAUGCGCCUGUGUGUGUGUGUAUGUGCGUGUGUCACUACAGAACUAAAUUAGGCUGUGUGAUGGACUUAGUACCAGACAUGUUAAGUUUUUCCGCAUAAAACCCUGGAUAGCCAAUCAGCUGCUUGCACAAAGGAAGGAGAAUUACAAUAAAAUUUUUCUUUGGCAAAGCAAUUCCAGCGGUCUUCAGCCACCACACUCUCGCCCAUAACCUCUUCACCUCUCCACUCCUCUCUUUACCUCCUGCCAAUCUUUUCAAUCUUCCCCCUGUUUCUUCUUGUCCGUUGUCUCCGAUUUUCUCAGUCCUUCUUCCCGUCUUUGUCAGGCUGCUCUUGUGGGGGACAUGAACGGGAGGACAUGAGCGUGGUGGAAAAACGCAGACAUGGUUCAGAUCCAGACAGAUGGAAUGACUGACACACAGACAGAUCGACAGAAAGAUGGACAGCUGGACAAUUGGACAGGCUGGUCAUUAGACUGCUAUGGCUAUCAUCAGCUGCAAAGAGUGUUAAACAGAUAGCCAUACACUUACCUCUCUCUACCUUUCCCUCUCCCCUCUCUCUCUCUUUUGCACAUAUAUCUCUCCUCCCUUCUCUUGCUCCCUCUCUCUCUGUCUCUCUUACAAAUUAAAGUUGUCUCUCCUCCUCUCCUAGAUUCCCAUCUUGAACUACUGUAUCUCUUCUUGUACAUCCCUGUCUUCAUCUGUUGGAGUUCACUACCAUUUUUGAUGUCGACUCCGCUGUCCUUCCCGGGUUCUACUCUUCAUCUCUUAGUCCCUCUCUCGCAGUGAUUAGGGAGCCUUAAAGAACGCUGAUCCACACUUCUGUAGUGCUCUUCUGUAAUCAAGGCUUUGAGCUGAGGAGUGGAGCGGUUGGCGCCGGGCGACUGUUGUCUUCUCUCUUAACAAGUGUUUUCAUCCAGCCUCUUCUGUUCCUUCACACGUGUUUAUAUCCUUGUAUCAAUUUAUGUAUUUUUUUUGUCUCUAGCUCUCCCUCUAAGAAGUCUUGGUUACACCUCUCAUGGAGAAAAACAGAGUCCUCCACAGACACAUUAAAAUUCUCAAUGACCCAAUAGAACAGCCGUGGCCAUUAGCCGACGUCUGCCGAGGAGGGUGUUUGUGACGUGCUGGGACAAUGUUUGCUGUGCCACACAGACACGAAAGCCGUGGCAUCGGUCAUCUUCACAUGCAGAUCCCUGGAUGUGCAUGUCAUUGCCUCUCCAACCCUACACCCAGCAGAAGAUGUGUCCCCUGAGAUUCACUGCAUGGUUUCCCUGUUCGGACAGUCCCAGAGGGAGUUGCUUCAGAUAUGUGGUUGCCAUGGCACCGAGAGGCCUGGCAGAGAGCUCAUUCCUUGAAAUUUGAAAUCGAGACUCAUCAGACCAGGCAACAUUCUUCCAGUCUUCAACUGUCCAAUUUUGAACACGUCACUGUUCUGCUUUAACUACUGCAGAACACUUCCACUACUGUUGAAGAUCCGGCAAAAGAGGGAAACGCUCAUUAGAAAAUACUAACUAGUUCCUGGCACCACACAGCUGCUGCCCCAUGUCCUCUCAUUAAAGGCUGUAUACCUUCCAGACUAAUGGCUGAUUACGGGCCCAUAACGGUCCUUCGUCCCUCCUUUGGGGUCGGAAUGGGACUCAUAAGCCCAAUUGUUGUGGAUUCAUUCAUGUUUUAGGGUAAUUUAUCAUGUUAAUUGUGUUUAUUAUGUACGGUUACAUGCAAGAUUCUUGGGUUCACACUAUAGACGGUACUCUCCAUAUCAGUAUAUGUGUAAUUUACAUAUUAUAUACUGCACCAGCAUUGGGUCAACGACCCGGGGGAGAACCCCCUGGCAUGUGGCUCAGCUGUUGUUUUAGAAAACACUUUGACUGCCAUGCCUUGAUGAGGUACACUAGCCCCCAAUCAGGGAGGAUAAAAGGGCCCUAGAAAAGCAGCUAUGGGCAACAGAGGAAGAAGGGAAGAGUAUGAUGCUGUACCCUGCUUUUGUUUUAUUCCUCUGUACCAUUUCUUUUAAUAAAACCCCCUUCAGAGCACCAGAACACAGAGGCACUGUGUCCAUUCCCUGUCUCUCCAAUACACACACAAACAAAUAAUAACACUUACUGUGUAAUAAAGGACAUAAAAGGGAUCAGUGUACUCAAUAUGUGUACCAGUUUUACUAGAUUGCUUUAUGGCCAAAAUGCUGAUGCCUUGCUGCUCUGCUCUUUAACUUUCCACCUAGUGCUCCUUCUCUCUAUAAAGUGUGGCUCACUAAAUAAAGGCUGGAGACAGUUUUACAAGGAGAGAGGAGAAGAGGAUGUGAAUGGCACACAGGGACGCACACAGCAGAUAGCAGCUCCGGCACUGAACUUCAGCACACAGUCAUCCAUCACUGCAGCAUCGGGGCCGUCAGGGCCCAUAGCCGGGGGCCGUCAGGGUGGGGCCGGGGCAGAUGGGUAGGGAGGAAGCAGCCCUCGGUCCUCUAGCGGCCCGGCCAGAACUGCAGAGUGAGACGGGGCAGGAGGUGUGAUGUGUACUGACACACACAUACACACACACACACACACAACCACA
ensembl:lncRNA